UACGUAGGGUGCGAGCGUUAAUCGGAAUUACUGGGCGUAAAGCGUGCGCAGGCGGUGAGCUGUGUCCGAUGUGAAAGCCCCGGGCUUAACCUGGGAAUGGCAUUGGAAACUGGCUCGCUGGAGUGUGGCAGAGGGGGGUGGAAUUCCGCGUGUAGCAGUGAAAUGCGUAGAGAUGCGGAGGAACACCGAUGGCGAAGGCAGCCCCCUGGGCUAACACUGACGCUCAGGCACGAAAGCGUGGGGAGCGAUCCGG
rnacentral:rRNA from 1 species